GACGAACGCUGGCGGCGUGCCUAAUACAUGCAAGUAGAACGCAGUUGCGAACGGGUGAGUAACGCGUAGGUAACUGCCUCAUAGCGGGGGAUAACUAUGGGAAACGAUAGCUAAUACCGCAUACUGUGCGAUGGACCAGCGUUUUAUUUGCUAGUUGGUGAGGUAAUGGCUCACCAAGGCGACGAUACAUAGCCGACCUGAGAGGGUGAUCGGCCACACUGGGACUGAUACACGGCCCAGACUCCUACGGGAGGCAGCAGUGGGGAAUUUUGGACAAUGGGGGAAACCCUGAUCCAGCCAUCCCGCGUGUGCGAUGAAGGCCUUCGGGUUGUAAAGCACUUUUGGCGGGUAAGCGGUACCUGCAGAAUAAGCACCGGCUAACUAUGUGCCAGCAGCCGCGGUAAUUC
rnacentral:rRNA from 1 species